AGCAUCGGCUCCAAAAAUAUUAAUCUCCGCCAUCAUGUGGCCAGUGUGGUUACACAAGAAGAUUUUGUGAGGGGAGCGCAACCUGUGCUUGCAUCAUCCUUGGACUUGUUCCCAAAAAGCACCCCCCGCCCAUUGUAUGAGGUUACGCAAGGCCAGGCUGAAUUCAGAAGUCACCGCUUUAAUGGCCUUGAAAAUGGAAUGGAUGAUUGGAUUGGCCCUGUAGUAAUAUUUAUAUGGAUCGUAGGCUACAAUUAUGACCACUAGAUGGCGGCAGCGAACUUCAAACCAAGCGGCAGGAAGUGAGCC